rnacentral:rRNA from 1 species
GGCGAACGCUGGCGGCAGGCUUAACACAUGCAAGUCGAACGGGCACUUCGGUGCUAGUGGCAGACGGGUGAGUAACACGUGGGAACGUACCUUUCGGUUCGGAAUAAUCCAGGGAAACUUGGACUAAUACCGGAUACGCCCUUCGGGGGAAAGAUUCAUCGCCGAUAGAUCGGCCCGCGUCUGAUUAGCUAGUUGGUGAGGUAAUGGCUCACCAAGGCGACGAUCAGUAGCUGGUCUGAGAGGAUGAUCAGCCACAUUGGGACUGAGACACGGCCCAAACUCCUACGGGAGGCAGCAGUGGGGAAUAUUGGACAAUGGGCGCAAGCCUGAUCCAGCCAUGCCGCGUGAGUGAUGAAGGCCUUAGGGUUGUAAAGCUCUUUUGUCCGGGAAGAUAAUGACGGUACCGGAAGAAUAAGCCCCGGCUAACUUCGUG